rnacentral:lncRNA from 10 species
GCUUCCUCAGGAGGUAGUUCUUUAAGUACAGUUCCUGGAACACAGUUGCUUUCCAUCUGUAGACCCAUGAAACUAGAGAAAAGUUAUCUGCCUUCUACUCACAGCAUAAAAUUAUGGAUAAGGCAUAACCAUAACCAUCACCAUAACAUUCUGUCCACAAAGCUGGGAAAUGGGAGACAUAAAGGAGUCACUAAGUCUAGCCCAUGCUCAAGGGGAGGAAAUUAUGCAAGGUCUGAAACUAGGAGGUGGGGCUGAUACCUAACAUAUAUGGAUGGCAUUGCUGCUUGUAUUGCUAGUUUUUUCCUUUGGCUCAGAGUAAAAAUUCUUUUUGAUUACAAGAAUAUCAGAGGAAAUUGUUUAACAAUUCUAUUUCUCUUUAUCAUGGCUAUAGAUCUGAUCAUUGACUAUUAGGUUGGUUUGUUUCCCAAAAAUUUCCAAAAUAUUUUCCUAAAGUUUAAUACAACAUUUGUUAUAGCUCCAUGCUUAUUCAUGUGGCUGCCUUCUAUAUUUCUUCUUCAAUUUAUCAAUACAUCUUAUAUUUGCAUAAAAUUCAAACUACAUCCCUUGGUGAAACAUAAUGUCUCUACUUUGAACAUGGGAGAUUUUCUACUUUCUUUUUCAUACUAUUGACUAGAGAAAUAACUUCCCCUUCCCUUUAUGCUGCUUUCUGAAGUCCUGCUAGAAUACUCCUUAUUGUCCUUCCUUUUUCUAUCAGUCUAUGGUUCUCAACCAACAACAGUUUUGCUCUUCGGGGGACAUUUGGCAAUGUCUGGAAACAUUUUUGGUUGUCACAACAGGAGGGUGCUACUGGCAUCUAGUGUGCAGAGGCCAGGGAUGCUGCUCAGUAAGCUGUAAUGCACAGGGCAGCCUCCGUACAACAAAGAAUUAUGGGGCUCAGAAUGUCAAUAAUGCCAAAGUUGAGAAACCCCAGUGUAAAACAAACCAGUCCUUCUUCCCACUUUAAAAAUGAAGACAUUACAAUGUUGCUUUAGCCUUGGUUACUAUAUAAAUCUACUUUUUCCCCCCAAAAGCAAACAUUUCCCCAAAAUAACAAAAAUGUGGAGUUGUGAUAUAAACUACAAAUUGCAGGCAAACCAGGUUCUACUCAAUUACCUAACCACUGAAGAAUAUAGCUUGAGAUAAAGGGCAUGGAGAAAAGUGAAAUUUUACUAAAUGUGCAGUUUGAAUACUUCUUUUGAUUGAGCAAUAUAUACUGAAUGUUUUGUGACACUUUGAGAUCUAGUUUUAUACUUUAAGCAUAUGUAAUUACUGCUAACUGGAAAAUAUCUAAAAUAUGUAUAUCCAAACUAGAGCAUGGAUUAGGAGUCUUUUUUAUUUGUUUGCUCUCAAAAUGAUGCCAACAUAACAAAAAUUUAGAACAAUGUACAGCAGCCAGUAUAGAAUCCCUAAGAUAACUAUAAUAUUUUUAAAUAAAUAAUGCUUCAUAUUUUUAUUGUUUCAUGGCAUUUCCAUUCACGAAUCACCUUUUUUCCUAAAUAAGUGUAUCUAUAAUUUUAUGAGUCAUUUGUCCAAAUAUGUAGAACAGGGCUUUGGGAGAAAACAAAUACACUCACAAUUUUUCUCAAUUGCCAACAGACUAGUUUAUUUGUUUC